GGGUGAGGAAAUCGGGCAGAGGGUGAGGGCGGGAGUCGUCCUCAGCAGACAGUCGCUCGUCCUCAGGGGCGUCGUCAGGAGCCACUCGGGAUCUUACACCUGCGUCGCCACCAACGCCCACGGCCGUUCCGUCAGCAACACCUUUUUGCUGACAGUCCAACAUGUCCCGAUAUGUGCAGGGUCAGCAGGUCGAGAGAGGACCCUAGGGGCAGCUCGAGGGACAGUGGUGAAGGCCAGGUGCACAGUAGAGGCCGAGCCUUCUUCCAACUUGGUCUGGUCCUGGGUGCGGAAGAGGACUGACGGCAGCGAGGAGAUCCUGUCCUCGGACAAGUACAUCAUCGAGGGACUGACGUCCGACCCUAACGGUCGUGCCUGAGAGGAGGGAAGACUAUGGUCGACUGCUCUGCAGGGCAACGAAUAACGUCGGCCGUCAGAAGGAGCCAUGUACUGUCAACCUAGUCCCAGCCGGCCCACCUGAUUCGCCCACCAAUUGCUCAGCCACACAUGUCACCCUGAUGCUCUUAAACCAGCCAUUGCUGUAGCCUGCUUGGAGGGAUUUGAUGGAGGGCUGCCUCAGAAUUUCCUGCUGGAAGUGUGGCAAGAUGGUCUGGUCCUUGCAAAUAUUAGCAGUGAGUAUCCCGAGUGGGUGGUCAGUGGCAUGGAGUCAGGGAAAGGGGUCAUUCUGAACAUCGUGG